GCUUGAGUUUAUCAGCCGAGU
rnacentral:miRNA from 1 species